rnacentral:snRNA from 1 species
AGCUUUGCGCAGUGGCAGUAUUGUAGCCAAUGAGGUUUAUCCGAGGCGCGAUUAUUGCUAAUUGAUUUUGAAUUUGUGGUCCAGUAUCAUUCUUUUGCAUCUUUCUAUCCAUUUUUCCCAACACCAUUUGCUG